rnacentral:rRNA from 1 species
GAGUUUGAUCGAUGGCUCAGGAUGAACGCUAGCUACAGGCUUAACACAUGCAAGUCGAGGGGCGAGCAUGGUCUUAGCUUGCUAAAGGCCGAUGGCGACCGGCGCACGGGUGAGUAACGCGUAUCCAACCUGCCUUACACUCUUGGACAGCCUUCUGAAAGGGAGAUUAAUACAAGAUGUUAUCAUGAGUAAGCAUUUUCGCAUGAUUAAAGGUUUACCGGUGUAAGAUGGGGAUGCGUUCCAUUAGAUAGUAGGCGGGGUAACGGCCCACCUAGUCUUCGAUGGAUAGGGGUUCUGAGAGGAAGGUCCCCCACAUUGGAACUGAGACACGGUCCAAACUCCUACGGGAGGCAGAA